rnacentral:tRNA from 1 species
GCUUAGCUCAGUUGGUAAAGUGCUUGCCUCACAUGCACAAGGACCUGGGUUCAAAGCCCAGCAUCA